CAUCUUCUAGGCUUUCGCAACCACAUUUCAGCUGCUAGACAAUUUACCUCGGAGAGGAUACGCCUACUGCUAAGAAAUUAAUAAACGUCAAAAUGCCAAACAAUUCGAGCAAUGUUUCCGGAAACGAAGUUUGUAAGAGAGUUGCCAUAGCCGGGGGAGUCCUUGCUCCGACUGGUAUUGGAGCUGCUGUUGGAACACUCGGUGGACCGCCUGGAAUAAUCCUAGGCUUAAUAAUUGGAGGCUGUGUAACUGUAGUUUGGACAACCGUAGCCUAUUGUCGAAAGAAGUAACUGCUGGCCAGAGUUUCGUCUAGCUAGCUGUGGUUGUUCAAGAACAGACUGAUGCGAAUGGAUCCCUGUAGUACAAUGUUGUUGCAAGAAGAACUAGUGCAGUCACGAAAGUACAAUUACAAAUUAACAUAACAACAGAACAAUGUUUUCUAAACAUGUACAUGUAAUAUAUACUGCCAAUUCGAUUUUGUCUCAUAGCUGUCUUGGUGAACUUUGAAUGGCAGACAACCAGAGCGUUUGGACUUCGAAAGGGGACCAAUUGUUCGCACCAGCCAGCACAGAUUAUAUCAUAUAUUCUUGUAGUGGGAUUUAUCUGUACUUGACAAAGGGUGGCAUGGUGCCGAGUUUAUCGUAACACCCUCGGUCAGUGUUAUCGCAGAUUGUUGAUUGUCACUGUAGUUUUGUCGAUUGCAUUUUUUUGGCAUCGUACCGUCCAGGAUUAUGCAUUAUCACUCCCGUGGCCAAAAUGGCAUGGUUGUGAUUAUUCCAUGACAAGUGAUAUAGCUUAUUCUGCAGCCCGUUUUGCUGAAAACCCCCAAAUGAUAUGUAAUAAAUGUAAUAAAUGUAAUAAAUUGACGUAGUAAAUAAAA